UGCAAGUCGAGGGGCAGCACGGUGUAGCAAUACACUGGUGGCGACCGGCGCACGGGUGAGUAACACGUGUGCAACCAACCCCGUACCGGGAGAUAACCCGCGGAAACGUGGACUAACAUCCCAUGAUACUCGAGAGCCGCAUGGCUCUAGAUUUAAAAUUCCGGUGGUACGGGACGGGCACGCGCGACAUUAGGUAGUUGGCGGGGUAAGGGCCCACCAAGCCGACGAUGUCUAGGGGUUCUGAGAGGAAGGUCCCCCACACUGGAACUGAGACACGGUCCAGACUCC
rnacentral:rRNA from 1 species